rnacentral:rRNA from 1 species
AAAAUAGCUCCCACAAUAGACCGUACCCGAAACCGACACGGGUGGACUGGUAGAGUAUACCAAGGCGCUUGAGAGAACUAUGCUGAAGGAACUCGGCAAUUUGCCUCCGUAACUUCGGGAUAAGGAGGCCUCAUGAGCGGGCAACCGUUUGUGAGGGGCACAAACUAGGGGGUGGCGACUGUUUAACAAAAACACAGGGCUCUGCAAAGCCGCAAGGCGACGUAUAGGGUCUGACGCCUGCCCGGUGCCGGAAGGUUAAGAGGAGAGGUGCAAGCUUUGAAUCGAAGCCCCGGUAAACGGCGGCCGUAACUAUAACGGUCCUAAGUUAGCGAAAUUCCUUGUCGGGUAAGUUCCGACCUGCACGAAUGGCGUAACGAUCUCCCCGCUGUCUCCAGCAUAGACUCAGUGAAAUUGAAUUCCCCGUGAAGAUGCGGGGUACCUGCGCUUAGACGGAAAGACCCCGUGCACCUUUACUAUAACUUUACACUGGCAUUCGUGUUUGCAUGUGUAGGAUAGGUGGUAGGCUAUGAAGUUGGGGCGCCAGCCCUGAUGGAGCCACCCUUGAAAUACCACCCUUAUGAACAUGGAUGUCUAACCGCGACCCGUUAUCCGGGCCCGGGACAGUGUAUGGUGGGUAGUUUGACUGGGGCGGUCGCCUCCCAAAGAGUAACGGAGGCGUGCGAAGGUGGGCUCAGACCGGUCGGAAAUCGGUCGUCGAGUGCAAUGGCAUAAGCCCGCCUGACUGCGAGACUGACAAGUCGAGCAGAGACGAAAGUCGGCCAUAGUGAUCCGGUGGUCCGUUGUGGAACGGCCAUCGUUCAACGAGUAAAAGGUACGCCGGGGAUAACAGGCUGAUGAUUCCCAAGAGUCCAUAUCGACGGAAUCGUUUGGCACCUCGAUGUCGACUCAUCACAUCCUGGGGCUGGAGAAGGUCCCAAGGGUUCGGCUGUUCGCCGAUUAAAGUGGUACGUGAGUUGGGUUCAAAACGUCGUGAGACAGUUUGGUCCCUAUCUGGCGUGGGCGUAGGAGAAUUGAGAGGAUCUGUCCUUAGUACGAGAGGACCGGGAUGGACGUACCUCUGGUGGACCUGUUGUGGCGCCAGCCGCAGUGCAGGGUAGCUAUGUACGGUCGGGAUAACCGCUGAAGGCAUCUAAGCGGGAAACCCACCUCAAGAUAAGUUCUCCCUCGAAAGCCGUGGUAGACCACCACGUUGAUAGGCCGGGUGUGGAAGCGGAGCGAUCCGUGCAGCUUACCGGUACUAAUAGCUCA